GCCUGGUAUAAGAGAACAAAACCAAGAGUACAAAAGUAGCCUUUCAGGGGAAGAGGGUGAGCUGGAGAAGAGUCAACCAUUCAUCCAUCAGAGUGCCUGGAACUCCCCUAGUUGGGCAGCUAAGAUGCCUCAGAAGGUGCCUCGGAGACCCACAUCGACCCUCUUUCUUUAAAGAAACCCACGUCUGAUGGCACCCGAGGAGGCGAAACAAACCCAGUCCAGAAUUCUGCUCAGGGACCAAGGAAUUGAAAAUGACUGGAAAUAAAAGUGAA